CCCAUCCUAAAAAAGCUAUCCCUAGACCCAUCUUCCUCUUCCAACUAUCCUCCCAUAUCCCGGCUUCCUUUUUUCUCAAAACUUCUAGAAAGACUUGUCUUUACUGGUAUGACUCAUUUCCUAAAUUCCAACUCCCUCCUCGAUCCUCUUCAGUCUGGCUUUCGCCUCCUCCACUCUACUGAAACUGCUCUUAUUAAAGUUACAAAUUACCUAAUCGCAGCCAAAUCCAG